UCAUAUAGCUCAGUCAGUACAGCAUGAGACUCUUAAUCUCAGGGUUGUGGGUUGAAGCACCAUGUUGGGCAAAA